rnacentral:lncRNA from 1 species
UAAAGAUGGCUUUUAAAUAAUAAUUUCAACCCAAAUUAUAAAGCUAUUAAGUUAUUCAGAUCAAAUCAAUUUAACUUUUAAAUCACAACACAUAAUAUUCACUAAAUGCUCUAGCGCUAAAAGCUACAGCAGCUCCGGCCGCUGUCCUCCAAUGAAAUGGCAUUUUCAUGCAACUCUUGUGCGGAAUGACUUGUAUGACAGGAAUUGCCAGCGGUGGAGGGUUAAGGCUUUUGUGGGAGAGUUUCUGGAACUUAGUUUUGUCACAUGCUUUGGUCCCCCCUCGUUCUAGAUUCCACUUCCAUUAUACAACAGCAAAUAAUAUCAAUUUAAUUAAGAAAAUUGACUUAAAGUCGUCACCCUGCAUAACAGAAGGUGCAUUGCAAUUUCAACAAUUUUGACAUAUAUAUAUUAUGACAGACAAAGACUAGACCCCAGCUAUCAAUUUCAAGGGCAGAAAUAAUUCCAACAGCAGAUUAAUCAUGCAGCAGUACUCAUGCCUCCGGGACUUGUAAAAAAAUGCUCAUAAUGCUUGCUAGCCAAGAGCUUGAGCUAGCUGAUGAACCUUUUAUCAAAUCAAUUAACCAUGCAGCGAUUUUGCAGUUCUGGACUUGCUAGACACUUUUCAGAGGUGCUAAUUACAUUACGGCGGUGGGGGCCCCGUGUCAAAAAGAAUCUAGGAACCACCACAACACUGCUACUCUUUCUUCCACUCCUCAUAGCUACUGCUUUCAUUUCUUCCUUAUGGAAUUCUGAUACUGUAAGCAAUACCAACUUACAGCACUUGUUUUAAUUUUUCCUGCACAGAUAUAUUUCAAUUGAUUAUGAUCGAGUUAUUUGCCUUUUCGAUUAUUUUGCAGUCUAAUUUUUCUGUUCACAAUAUCUCAAGAAAUAAAACGGUGAUUAUCGUAUCCCGAAAGCCACAAAACCGGCCACCAAAAAGAAUCACAACCCCACUCAAUUGUGUCAAAAACCAAACCCAAACUUGCCCAACAAAUUACCCCAAAACAUCUCAAACACAAGAAUCAAUUUCAGAUUACUCAAUACCACCCACAUCCACAUGCCCAGAUUACUUUCGGUGGAUCCACGAAGAUCUAAGCCCCUGGAAAGUCACAGGAAUCACAAGGGACAUGUUAGAAAGAGCCAAUCAAACGGCUCAUUUUCGUCUAAUACUCGUCAACAACAAAGUAUAUAUCCACAAGUACAAACAAUCAAUACAAACUAGAGACGUUUUCACCAUAUGGGGCAUCUUGCAACUCCUUAGAAAGUAUCCCGGAAGAUUACCGGACUUGGAGCUUAUGUUUGACUGCGAUGACCGCCCCGUCAUCCGAUCACGCGACUACAGCGGGCCAAACAACAAGGGCCCACCUCCGUUGUUUCGGUACAGUGGUGACAGGUGGACGAUGGAUAUAGUGUUUCCUGAUUGGUCCUUCUGGGGAUGGUAAUGACUUCUUCUUCUUCUUCUUCAUCUUUUUGUUGCUCUCUCUUUUGAUUGCUGGUUGCGUGUUGCGUGUGUUUUUGUUUUCGCAUGGAAAUUGUAGAAUGCAUGCUAAAUCGACUUGGACUCUAGCUACCAUCGUAGGCCACGUAGGGUAGAAGCGUACUGUAAUUCAUUUUGUUUUCUGAUAAUCAAGGGGUCCUACGCUAAUGACAUGCGACCAAACACAGAUUAUUUAACCUGAAUAGCUAAUGCCCCGAGACGGCAAGACAUAGUUUUUUUUUUUUUUUUUUUUNNNNNNNNNNNNNNNNNNNNNNNNNNNNNNNNNNNNNNNNNNNNNNNNNNNNNNNNNNNNNCCGUACAUUCGCCUUGGCCGUACAGCAGUAUAAAAUUUGAUUAUUAUUUAAUAAGUUCAAUAUUACUAAUAAUAAAUACUUAAAUAAUAUAUAAAAAUGACAUAAUAUUACAUUAUUUAAAUAUAUUACAACAAUUGAUAUAUAAGAAUUGAUUAUUAUUUAACAAUUUAAUAUAACUAAUAAUAAAUACUUAAAUAUUAAUAAAUUUGAAUACUAUUAAUUUAAAAUUAAUAGUAAUAUAAAUAAUGAAAUAAAAUAUUCAUACAUAUAGUACAAUUCGUAAUAUAAUAUAAUAUAGUGUGCCAAAUGCACCCAAGUUAUAAAUUAUAUUAUAUUUUUUACCUUAUUUUUUUCCUUACUUUUACAAUAUAUAAUAUCUUUACAAUAAUUUUGGAGAAAUUAAUGAAAUGAAUAAAAGAAAACUAACCAAUCUUUUAUUUUAUUUUAUAACGAAACAAGUAUAUGAUUGAAAGAUUUGAUUGUGGGUAGGGAUGGCAAUGGGGAGGGGAGGGGACCAAUCUCCCCGUACCAAUCCCCGAUAUUUUGCUUAUAUCCUCGUCCCCUCCCCGUCCCCGUUAGAAUUACUUGAGAGAAUCCUCAUCCCCUCCCUGAAUAAUAACAGGGGAUCCCCAAGGGUCCCCGAUCCCCGAAUAACUAAUACAUUUUUUGUUUUCGAUUUUGAGUUAAUCAUAUUAAAAUAAAAAAUUCAAAUAAAAGUAAAGUUUGAAAUAUAUCUUACAUUAAUAUCCAUUACAAAAGUCACAUACAUUAAAUUAGUAAGUAACGCAUCAUGUAAGAGAUACAAGCUUCUUUUACAAACUAUCGUGAAUAAAUUAAUAGUCUAAUACAAAAUUGUUACAAAUAAAAUCGAAUUUAGAUUCAAAAUUAACUUUUUCAAUGGUGGCGUGGACACUUUAUAAAUGUGGACUAUUCCCUUUAUAGCACAAUAGUUAAGUCGGAGCAAAUCAAGAGCAAAUAUUAGAUUAGAUUAAAUUAAAUUAAAUUAGAUAUUAAAAUUGCGAUUCGCUGUGGGCAAUUAUAACAUCUAAAAAUAAAUAAAAAAUAUAUUUAAGUUUAAAACAUUUAAUGAAUAUUAAAAUUAAAACAAAAUUUUUGGGCUAAUAGAAUUUACCCGGUUUUUUUAAUGUCCUAAAUAUAAAUUGGGUAAAAAUAUUUCUCCGUCCCUUCCUCGAAUAAGAAAUUGGGUAUGAAAUUAUCCCCAUAUCCUCCACGAAUGAGAAAAAUCCCCGAGAAUACCCGUCCCCGUAGAGAUUUUUGCCAUCCCUAAUUGUGGGUUCUUCUCCACUGAUGUCUGAAAUUGUGCAAGUACGUACAUAUGAUUGUCAGUCGGCUAGUUUUACAUUAAUUUUCAUCUAGCAAUGUUAUUACUUUGGGUCAUUGGGUGUCAGAUUUGAAAUUUAUGUUAGAAUGCGCCUGUGGAUCGAAUUAAACAAGUGUGUGACUAGCAAGUUCAUAAUAUAUAUAUAAAGAUGGAUGGAAAGGGUGUGACUGGCAACUUAUUCAUUUUGGCAGGGCUGAGAUAAAUAUAAAACCAUGGGAGAGUUUGUUGAGGGAGCUAAAAGAAGGCAACAAUGGGAGGAAUUGGGUGGACAGGGAACCCUAUGCCUACUGGAAAGGGAACCCUUUUGUAGCUGAAACAAGAAGAGACCUACUCACUUGUAAUCUAUCAGAUAAACACGACUGGAAUGCUCGACUCUAUGUCCAAGUAAUUUUAUUUUUAUAUUACUACUCAUUUUUGUUCUAAGAUUCCUGGUUUUAAUUUCUUUUUAAUCUUUUUCAAAAUGCUGGGCAUGGACAGAAUUUAAAUUAAUUUUUAGCCCCUUAAUUACAGUCCCUAAUAUUUAAACUUGACUUGCUAGCCAAAUAAAGCUGCUUAAAACCAAUUAAUUCGAUCAAACCUUUGAUUAUAUUUAUUUAUUGCGCAUAUAUAUAUUAAUUAAUUAACUUUUGCAGGAUUGGAUCCUUGAAUCUAAGCAAGGUUUUCAACAAUCAAAUCUGGCGAGCCAAUGCGCCCACAGGUAUAUCUAGUCGCCGACUAACUGAUGGGUACGUUCAUCAAGUCAACUUUCAACAUUGACUUUUCUUGUUCACUACUUAUUCAUUAGGUACAAAAUCUACAUCGAAGGAUAUGCAUGGUCAGUUAGUGAGAAGUACAUUCUGGCAUGUGACUCUACGACACUCAUUGUAAAGCCCUAUUUCCACGAUUUCUUCAUAAGAUAUUUACAACCUCUGCGACACUACUGGCCGAUAAGAGAUAAAGAUAAGUGCAAAUCUAUUAAGUUUGCUGUAGACUGGGGUAACACCCACAAGCAAAAGGUAAUUAGCUUCGUUGAUUAUAUUAUACUGAUGUAAUAUUUUGUUAAGUAAUGUGAUACGCAUGUAAAUGGACUUUAUUAGCAGGCACAGGAAAUUGGGAGAGCGGCGAGCAACUUCAUUCAAGAAGAACUGAAAAUGGAAUACGUGUAUGAUUACAUGUUUCAUUUGUUAAACGAGUAUGCUAAGCUUUUGAAAUUCAAGCCAGUGGCACCUGAUGGAGCUGUGGAGGUAUGCUCAGAGACUAUGGCUUGUACCGCAAAUGGGUCGCAUAAAAAGUUCAUGAUGGAGUCAUUAGUCAAAGGUCCUUCUAUUACAAGCCCAUGCACAUUGCCUCCUCCGUAUGAACCCAAAGUUCUUGGUGCUUUCUAUCGGAGAAAACUUAAUGCAAUUCUACAAGUGCAGAAAUGGGAGGAUAGAUACUGGGAAAGUUUGAAGAAGCAAUAGUGCGAAUAAUAUAUGCAUAUUAAUUACUUAGGUUAGGCUUUUAUUUAUUCAAUCAUUUGAUAAAGGGUCAAAUCCUACGACUCAGCAAGCCCAAUUUAAUUAAUUAAGAAGGCAUACAGCACUUAUGUUUUGCACCAAACUGUACUUAUCAUUAAAUCAAUUGCUAUGAGCCACGCAUGCAGCAUUUUGGACCACCGGAAAGAUGUGAAUGACUCAUCAUCAUCUCUUUGCCCACAAGUGCAUUAAUAACGAGCUUUAUCACUGACGAAUCACAGUAUUUGUCUGAAUUGGUCAUGUGGAUGAAAGGAAUUGGUUUCUUUUGGGCGACAGAACAAAUGAAUGAAAAUGAUGAUGAUCAAUCCAGUCUCCACCGUUGCUAAUAUUAAUAUGAUUAUGAUUUCAGUGCUGCACACAGGAGCACCUUGCGAAUACUGCUUAGUACUGUUACAUGCAUUCUUAUAAUUACGUGUAUCCAUAUAAAUAAGUAUUGAGAAAAAAGCUCACAAUAUGAUGAUAUUUUGCACGCAGCUGUUUUAUUUUUAUUUGUAGACCAUCUGGUCUUCUAGUUAUUAGGUUUCCUUUUCAGGUGGGGAGGAAACUUACCAAUGAAUCUUUAGUCUAGUGGGAGAGUCUUUACACUUACAAUGUUGAGUGUAAGAGUUCAAGUUUUUAUAAAAGUAUUUAUGGGGGUUAUUUACAAUCCUCCUUUAAUUAUUUGAUAAUUGAGUAGAGUCAGUCUAUGCCUCACGAAAUAUGAGUGGAGUGGACAGCCCUCGAAUAUUUGAGAUGGUUUGAAGAAUUUGGGCAGAGCUUCAGAGGGGUACAUGCCACGAAGAAGGUCCCAAUUGUAGAAUCUGUUUAUAAAUAUUAAUUGUAAUACCUACAAUCCUAUAUAACAGUACUAUAAAAAAAAAAAUAAAGUGGGGAGGAAACUUUGUCCGUGGCCAUAGAUUUAUUGCAAUCGUACGAAUAAGUUUAUAUUUGUGUUUCCGUCCUUAAAGAUUGAGACUGAUGAUAACACACUAGGCCAUACCCCUUAAUUAACCUCACAUUAAUGCACACAGCAAAUAGCCUAUACAAGCCGUUUGGACGACUUGUCAGGACGACCCAUUUUGGGAUAUACAAUUGGAAAUUAAUUACUUGAAUUAGCUAUGGUGAAACUUAUAUAUAAAUGCCUAAUUAAAGCCUGAACCAUGAAUGGUUUUGAGAUAAGAAAUCUUUGUCAAGAUACUUGGGCGAUUAAUUAUGUGUUCAUCUUAAAUGUUGAACCAGCCUAACAUGCAAGAGACUCAACAGUCCACAUAGAAUGUUAGGUUGGCUUGGCUUCAACUCUUUGCUAGUUGUUGUGAAAAACCCAAAAAAAGCAAAAAAAGGGAAAAAAAAAAAUACAAAUAAACUCUUUGUUAGUUGAGACGUUGAACGUUAAGUUCCUUUGCUAAUACUCGCAAUUAUUGACGGUCGGUGGUGUAAUCCACAAAUUAUGUUGAUAAAUAUAUGGAUUUGCAAAUACCUUGAUUAUAUGUAAUGCUUUUAAAAAUUAAUUAAUCGUAGCUUAAAUAUAUGACAUCAACGGAGACGUAAGCAAUACGGGGAGCUAAAUUGUCAUGUUAGUUUCUGCCUCUAAUAGGAAGCUUUGGCAUUAAACAAAUCAAUUACAUCAACGUUAAGUUAAUUUAUCAAAUUAUAUUUGAUGAUUCUGGAUUCAUGUUGAUCGAACCUGCAACGUCAAAGCCACUUUAAUUAGUAAAGCCGGUUCCAAUAAAAUCAUUCAAAAUUUUGGAGGCAUUUACUUUUGAGAUGCUUCACCAAACCAUGAGAUUUUUCUUGCUCUUGAAUCCUCUUUGAUGACGAAUGUGACAGCUUAUCCACUCCCCAUAUCGUUAAUCAUGAAAUUAAUGAAAAGUAUAAAACCAAAUGAACAGACAUGAUUAAGAAUUUUAAUAAGCCUAGUGUGGGUUUUUUUAUGCUCAAUUUGGCUAAAUUAAAGAAAUAUUUUAAAAAAAACUAUUUUCAUCAUUUUGUUUAGAAAUCAAAGAUAAAUAAAUAAAUUGCAAAUUAAUGGCAUAAUAAUAAUAAUGAGAAAUGUCAAAAUAAAAAAUAUGAGAGUAUCACUAAAAAAACUCUUCUAAUUUAACUAUUUAAAUAUUUGUUUGCUUAAUUAUUUGAUAAAUAGAAAAGUUAAAAAAAAUAGUCAUAUUUUAAAAGACUUUUCAAAUAAAAAUAAAUUUAUGUUUUUUUAGCCAAAAUUUUUUCUCCACAAAAAUAAUAACAAUUACAACACAUUUCUCCCUUUAAGAAUGAGAAGAUAAAAAAUAAUAUAACAGUAAGAGACUCUCUAAAUGAGAUUUUUCAUUUGACUAAAGAAGAAAGAAGGAUAACCUUAUUUAAAAAGUUUUUUAAAAUAUUUUUCUCUUCAAAUAAUAAGUAAAGAAAUUUUGAGUGACGUUCUAGGGAGAUUUUUUUUUAUAAAAAGGUUAUGAGAAUUUAAUCAAUUUAUUGUUUAGUAUUAAUCAAAGACAAAGUGGGUCCAGAUCAAAGUCGUCACGUGGAGAGUGUUCAGGGCCAAUGUGAGGAAGACAAAGGGCGCUCUCUCACAAAAGGGACCGAAAACUGUCUCACACGGCUCCACCAAGUUCUCUUCUUUUGUUUGACUUUUUCAUUGGUCCAAUUAUUUUGUGACACCUGUAAAGACUCAUAGAAACCGAGCCUCUUCGAGUCACAGCAGAAUAUAGAAUUAGAAAAUGACGUGGCUCACGCUCCAGCUCCCUUUAAAAAUACUCAAAAGUGUAUUUGCUUGGAAGCAUAGUCAGGAAGCAACCUUCAUGCUUAAACAAUCUUUCAUGUCUUGUGUCACCUCCCAAACUCAAAUAUACAAAAACAUUAAAACCAAAAAGGCAACCUCAUAAUCAUAAUAAUAAUAAUAAUAAUAUCACAAUACGUACAUUAAAUAUCACUUGUGACAACUAACAAAGUGUUGGCUUCACUGGUAAUGGAGUCCCCUUAAGUGACUUGACUGGGUUUGCUCCCCAGUUCGAGUCGCAGGGAAGUCGCCUUUGUUGAGAGAAUCUGUGCCUCCUGGUUCGAGCGGGGACUUCUAAUCUGGGUUGUGGUACGGGCUUAAAGGUGCCUCCCACAGUUGGAGCCCUCCCCAGGAUACCUCGUGAUUAAUAUAAAAAAAAAAAAAUAACACUUGUGACAUUCAACAAGUUGUCUCUUUAAUCAUAUGCAUUUAUAUUAAUAUUAUAUUCCAUACCUUACCUAAGAUUGAAAGACUAUGCACAUUUUUUUUUGUUAGAUAUUAAUAUCCAAAAUGCACUCACUUUGAUUAUUAAUUUAAUGUUUAAAGAUAUGCAUUUAGAUGCAUCACAUGCUACUAACAAACUGAUGUUCAUGGGUAACAACUGUAAACGUUGAACUUGAGAGGGAGAAAAUUUGUUUACGAGCUUUAUUCAAAAGAAGUGUGCUUUUGCUCUCAAAAGCCACUAAACGACAUAGUAAAAGCAUUCAAAUUUCAAACGGUCGUGGCCUUCGCUUGCUCUUUGGUACAAAGAAAAUCGAGUGAAUUAAAAUUUGAUGGGGACGGACAAAUUGGCCAGCGACCCUUGAUUUUAGCCACUUAAUGACAGCUGUUAAUCUAAUUGCACUGGCUUAAUAAAAGUAAAACGGGGGCCGAUUAUAUCGCGAUAUUUUAACGAUUCAUAGAAAUCAUUGAUUAAAAUUAGGUUACGGCAAUGUCACGUGGUAACCGGCGCAAAUACCGGAACGGCGAUUGGCCCGAUCCCGGCUCCCUAAUACGGCUGCUAACGUAAAAUAAAAUUGUUUCUCUUAUUACGAAUGUUCUAAAUUCAUCUUUUUUUACUGUUACAAGAGUUUUUCAUUGGCCAAAUAAUCCGACAUUCUUAAAUAUAAAUAUAAUUGUUGUUUAUCAUAUCUACAAUUACUUUUUUUUUAUAUUAUAAAUGACAAUAAUUUUAAUAUAUCAUUUUUGUGUUUUUUUUAUAAGUCACCCAUUUAAAAAGAAAAAGAUACAAGAUGUUGUUUAAAAUCAUUUCACAUGGAUAUAUUUUUAUUUAUACAUAAUAUACAAUAAUCAUAUAAAGUUUUUAAAAAAAUAACCGUGUAAAUUUAACAUUAAUGAUUCAUUGAUAAUGAACAUAAUCAUAGAAUGGUUCAAAAUAAUUUAAUUGCUCUUAAAUAUGUUGAACUCUUAUUUCAUCAUAAUUUGAAUUAAAAAUUUUGUUAUUUAAUAACUAAAAUGUAUAUAUAUUUGUUUCUUCGUUUAAUUUGAUGGAUCAUGGAUCCAUAUUGCUAAUGUGAGAUAAAAAUUUUCUCAUAAUUUAAAUUUUUAUGAAUUUUUAAAUAAUAAUAUAUGAAUAAAAUUUAACUUUGUUUAUUUUUUUAUUUAUUAACUACUAAUUACUUAUAUAUAUUUACACGAAAUUAAAUGAUAAAGAGAAUCCUAUUCCCCUGUUGGCACGGACUCUCACAUUAUCAUAACACCCGAGAUCUGGUUUUCUCGUCUCACGAGAUUGACGCUAUUGAAAAAAAAAAAAAAGCACCAGCCAUACUGUUAAUGCAAUCAUUAGCAGAGAAAAAAAAUCUAAUAGAAGCAUGUGUAGAGCUCCAAAAGCAUAAUCCUCCCAAAACCGCCCUACCAUUUUAACUCAAAAUUACAGAUAGCAGAUCAACAACACUCUUUGCAUUUUCCAUUUUGUAGUUCAAUUAUCCAUUAUUUGAUUUUUCUGUUCUACAUUUUUUUUUUUUUACCUGGAACAAGAAGAUCUUUAUCUUCUUUAGCUAGUAACAAAAACCUCUCUUUGAAUCCAAGUUUCUCUCACAUCUCCUUUUGUCUUUUAACUUGACAUAUCUGUCUUGAGUUUACUCUUUCAACGGAUUUGCUUUCAUGGGUAGUUGCAAAAUCUUUGAUUUAAACUCACAAAAACUGUACUAAAAACUUUAUCUGGUUCUUGUUAACAAGGGCGGAUUUGUAGUACAUUAUUGAACUUUAAGUCAGUUUUAGAGUUUUAGUGUACUUACAUUUGUCUUCAUAAACACUAGUAUCCAAGUCAUUUGAUUUUUCUUUUUCUUUUUCCUCUUUUGAAGUUUCUUUAAUGAGUUCUUGUUUUGAGUCUUGUGGUUUCUAGAAGACUAUUGGGUGGUAAAAGAUAGAAUCUUGAACUGAAAAUGAGAUCAUACUCGUCACUUGAGCUUCUGUUUGUUCUCUCUGGAGUUCUUUUUGCAACCUGCAAUGCCUUUGCUACAAAUGAAUGUAAUGUUUCGUUUGUUUACUUUUUGUCUUGCCUCAGAUCUCGAAUCUUUUGAUUGUGUUAAUUGUUCUCUUUUUCCAACAUUUUCUUAGUGACCAAAUAGUCUAUUAGCGCUGUUGAGGUCAUGUGAUCGUAAUUUUACUAAAUGGGAGUUGUGUAUUUUCCUCAGUUUGGGCUCUUACAACAUUCAAGGAAGCAAUAUAUGAAGACCCCCAUCUGGUUUUGUCCAACUGGAAUGCCCUUGAUGCAGAUCCUUGUCAUUGGACUGGCAUUGCUUGUUCUGAUGCUAGAGACCGUGUUCUAAAGAUGUAAGAGAUGAUUUGUUACUCAGUUGUAUUGUGGUACUUCUUUGACUGGAUUUCCAUAGAUAUGCAUAGUUUGGUUAAAUACAUGUUUGGGAGAAUCAUGCCUCACCGAUUUGUAUGAGGAUUUUGUUUUGUAGAAACAUCUCUGGAUCAUCUUUAAAGGGAUUUCUUGCGCCAGAGUUGGGUCUGCUGACGUACUUGCAGGAGCUGUAAGCUCUUAUUUAUUUUUGUCUUUUCCUACCGGCUGAAGUAUUAUACUUUUUUACGGUGAUUGAGGUUUAAUAUCACACGUUCUUGUCUUGUAGAAUUCUGCAUGGGAACAAUUUGAUUGGGAUAAUACCUAAAGAAUUGGGCUUGUUGAAACGUCUGAAGAUCUUGGAUUUGGGGACGAACCAAUUAACAGGUCCAAUUCCUCCAGAGAUUGGGAACUUGACUGGUUUGGUGAAAAUGUAAAUGAAAUUUAUUGUUUGUUCCCAAAGAACUGGAUUUUAUG